rnacentral:lncRNA from 1 species
GAGUUAUUCGAAUUCGAAAACUCAACUCGAUUCGAACUCGAAAUUCGAAAAAAAAAUUUGAGUUGAUUCGAAUAACUCGAUUAACUCGAAUAACUCGAUUCGUUUAACUCAAAAUUUAAAUUUUUUUUUAUUUUUUCGAGUCGAAUCGAAUUUUGCUCAUCCCUACAUGCAGGUAAUGAUUCCCAUGAAUUACCGUUAUCAUUCAGUUUGGGACGAAUAAAUUUUGGACUGUAGUAUCUUUCUGGGCAAUUAUGAUAUCUUCUUUGAUAGUAUGGCAUGAUUUCUUGUAAUCCAAACAAAUAAAUGAAUUGAAAUCGCUAAGGAGACUUGUUGGGUUUAUAUAAUCUUAUUAGAGUCGUGGUGACUCAAUCCUUUUCCUUGUUGGAAAAGGAAUUCUAAUUUCAGUUUGACUAUGAUUUCUAUUUUCUAAAUAUUUGUAUAAUAAAAUUGUAAUACCCAAUAAUUGCCUGGGCCCACAUACAGAAAUAAUAAACCAAAAACAGAAAAUAAAAAACAAUAAAAGUCCAAUAAAUAAAAAAACAAAACAAAUAGCAAACCCAAAUCUGACCCAAUGCAAUACCCAAUAACCAAAUCAGCCCAAAACUAAAAAACAAAAAACCCUAGAACCUUCAACCGCUGCUCUCCCACAUGCGCGCCUCCAGCCCCUUCCAUGUCACCCCACGAACGGCUUCUUCCGUACGACGGUUUUACCUGCAAAAUAGGACCAUAAACAGCAAGAAAGAAGCACACUAGAGGCACGAUGGAAUAACGGCAAAGAAAUCGAAUAACGAAGGGCAGAGAGAAAAAAUAGAUAUUAUUUUAUUUAUUUGUUUUUCCUUUUUUCGAUUCGGCUAUAUAUAAGGCCGAUUCCAAAUCUGUAGGGGUUUUUUUUUUUGCAGAUCGAAUCAAAAAAGAAGGGGGGAGAUCAGUGUAAAAAAAAAACCAAAAAGCGGUGUAAAGAGAAAAAGGGGAAAAUACGAAAGAAAGAAGAAAAUUAGAGUUUAUUGAAGGUGAAAAAGUUUUUCUUCUUCUUUUGAUAAUUUCCCGUCUCUGUUCUUUUUUUUAUAUUUAAGUCAAAUACGAAGAGAAAGAAAGGACCUUUUUACAAAACCUUACCUGUAUGUUGCAUUGUCGGAACCUCCAUACUUUCGGCUUCGAAUCAAAAUAGGGUGGGUAAUGGCUGAGUUGAGAGUGGCGUUGUGGGCAUAGGUUUAGUCUGUUGGAGAAAUUAGACUGGUGGCUGAUAUUAGGGUUAGCAUUGGUUUUGUUUUAAAUUGAAAGAAACAGCACCGUUUGGACUUUAUGCCAAGGUUCAAUGGCUUAUUUCCACGAUUGGUACUCUGCUUUUGUACAUGCUUAAUUGAUUCUUUCAUGCUUCUUAAAUGCGGCUGCAUUUUUCAUCGUUUAUUUCAAUUUUGUCCAUGCUCGGAGCGCUACGUUUUGGAGGGUUUGGAAUAUUUCCGAAUUGGCUCUCCAUGUUACGCGCAUUUUGCAAAUUCGCCCUUUGUUUUAUUUAUUUAUUUUCAAUUAUGUUUUGAUUAUAAUUUAAUCUUCGUAUUUGUUUUACUAAUUAAGUUUAAUAUUAAGCUACUGUUAUUAUUGUUAUUGUAUUAUAUAUUACUGUUAUUUUUAGUAUUAUAGAUUAUUA